rnacentral:rRNA from 1 species
UACGGAGGAUCCGAGCGUUAUCCGGAUUUAUUGGGUUUAAAGGGUGCGUAGGCGGCCUAUUAAGUCAGGGGUGAAAGACGGUAGCUUAACUAUCGCAGUGCCUUUGAUACUGAUAGGCUUGAAUAUACUUGAGGUAGGCGGAAUGUGACAAGUAGCGGUGAAAUGCAUAGAUAUGUCACAGAACACCAAUUGCGAAGGCAGCUUACUAAAGUAUGAUUGACGCUGAGGCACGAAAGCGUGGGGAGCAAACAGG